GCGAUGGGUAUUACCAAACCGUCGCUCUAUGCCGCGUUCGGCAACAAGGAAGAACUUUUCCGCAAAGCGUUCGAUUCUUAUAUCGAUGGCCCGGCGGGCUACCCCAAGCGUGCGCUGCUGCUGCCGACCGCGCGCGNAAUCGAACGUCUGCUCUAUGGUGAAGUGGAUGCAGUGACAGAUCCGGAUUGUCCGGCGGGAUGUCUGUCGAUCAAUGGCGCGUUGACCUGCGGCGAUGCGGCCGAAUCGAUCAAACAGGAACUGAUGACCCGCCGUGCCCAGGGCGAGGACGAUCUGCGCCAGCGUUUCGAGCGGGCGCAAGCCGAGGGCGAUCUGCCCGACUCGGCGGAUGCAACCACUCUGGCGCGUUACAUCUCGACCAUUGCACAAGGGAUCGCGGGGCAGGACGAACUCAAGAAGAUCGUGGAGAUGGUUUUGAUGACCUGGCCUCCGGUCGCGGCCUGAGUCCUCUCCA
rnacentral:misc_RNA from 1 species